rnacentral:lncRNA from 1 species
AAAAUUACAUGAUUUUUGAAAAGUCAGAAGUAUUUUUAAACAAUUAAAAAUAUGCAUAAAAACAUUUAAUUCAUGAAAAAAUAUCAAAAUUAAUCAAAAAAAUAAUUUUAAUUCAGAAAAUGAAAGAGAAAAAUAUUUAAAGAUUUUUGGGGAAAGUCCCAUAUUUUUUGGAUUAAAAAUGAAAUUAUUAUGAAUUAAACAAAAUAAAGAAAUUAAAUGAAAAAUAAAAUAAAAAAUAC